CUGUAUAGUUUUCCUUGGUUGUGUGGAGCAUAUGGUAUAACUGGUCCCAACAAAAAGAUCCCUCGUCUACAUCUUUUUCUCACAGUUAAAAGAGGUGUAAAGAAAUCAGUUGUACGACGCGAUCUUAAAGACAAAUUUAAGUGUUACCCCAAGGAGUAUUUUGAACUCCUGCGAGAGCCUAAAAGGAAACCAAAAAUAAAAUAUUUGGUAGAUUCAAGUGGAUCAAGUGCC
rnacentral:lncRNA from 1 species